CUGGCUGCAACUGUUUAAUAAAAACACAGCACUGUGCAAACACGAAAGUGGACGUAUACGGUGUGACGCCUGCCCGGUGCUGGAAGGUUAAUUGAUGGGGUCAGCCGCAAGGCGAAGCUCUUGAUCGAAGCCCCAGUAAACGGCGGCCGUAACUAUAACGGUCCUAAGGUAGCGAAAUUCCUUGUCGGGUAAGUUCCGACCUGCACGAAUGGCGUAAUGAUGGCCAGGCUGUCUCCACCCGAGACUCAGUGAAAUUGAACUCGCUGUGAAGAUGCAGUGUACCCGCGGCAAGACGGAAAGACCCCGUGAACCUUUACUAUAGCUUGACACUGAACAUUGAGCCUUGAUGUGUAGGAUAGGUGGGAGGCAUUGAAGUGUGGACGCCAGUCUGCAUGGAGCCAACCUUGAAAUACCACCCUUUAAUGUUUGAUGUUCUAACUCGGCCCCAUAAUCUGGGGUGAGGACAGUGUCUGGUGGGUAGUUUGACUGGGGCGGUCUCCUCCCAAAGAGUAACGGAGGAGCACGAAGGUUAGCUAAUCACGGUCGGACAUCGUGAGGUUAGUGCAAAGGCAUAAGCUAGCUUGACUGCGAGAGUGACGGCUCGAGCAGGUACGAAAGUAGGUCUUAGUGAUCCGGUGGUUCUGAAUGGAAGGGCCAUCGCUCAACGGAUAAAAGGUACUCCGGGGAUAACAGGCUGAUACCGCCCAAGAGUUCAUAUCGACGGCGGUGUUUGGCACCUCGAUGUCGGCUCAUCACAUCCUGGGGCUGAAGUAGGUCCCAAGGGUAUGGCUGUUCGCCAUUUAAAGUGGUACGCGAGCUGGGUUUAGAACGUCGUGAGACAGUUCGGUCCCUAUCUGCCGUGGGCGUUGGAAGAUUGAGAGGGGCUGCUCCUAGUACGAGAGGACCGGAGUGGACGAAUCACUGGUGUUCGGGUUGUCAUGCCAAUGGCAUUGCCCGGUAGCUAAAUUCGGAAGAGAUAACCGCUGAAAGCAUCUAAGCGGGAAACUUGCCUCGAGAUGAGUCUUCCCUGGGGCUUUAAGCCCCCUGAAGGAACGUUAAAGACUAUGACGUUGAUAGGCUGGGUGUGUAAGUGCAGCGAUGCAUUGAGCUAACCAGUACUAAUGAUCCGUGAGGCUUAACCUU
rnacentral:rRNA from 1 species